rnacentral:rRNA from 1 species
CACGUAGGGGACGAGCGUUGUCCGGAGUCAUUGGGCGUAAAGCGCGCGUAGGCGGCUCGGAAAGUCGGUCGUGAAAUGCCGGGGCUCAACCCCGGGACUGCGUCCGAUACUCCCGAGCUGGAGGCAGGUAGGGGAGAUCGGAAUUCCUGGUGUAGCGGUGAAAUGCGCAGAUAUCAGGAGGAACACCGGUGGCGAAGGCGGAUCUCUGGGCCUUGCCUGACGCUGAGGCGCGAAAGCUAGGGGAGCGAACAGG